CAAAUUUUUGCAACUGUAAAGAGCAUAUAUAUGAUUCUGAUGAGUAGGCUGAUUCAAAUAAGAAGAGGAUUGAGCUGCUGGUAUGAAGAGAAAGUAAUUUGCCAGAUAUGCUUUAAUAUUUUAGGUCUAGAGAGCUGAACUAGAAAAUGUUUCCAAUUCAACCAUGUUUUUAGCUUGGUUAUUUUGGUCUAAAAUCUGAAAUUCUCAUUGAACAUACUUUAGAUUUAUACUUACAGUUACUCUAAUCAAAUCUGCUAGCCACUAAAGAAAUACUAAAGGAAAAAGAAGGAAGAGUUAAGUGAUCAAAAUGAAAAAGUUUUGUAGCUAGUAAGAUAAGAAAGAUUGAGUAAAAGCGACAUCUGCUGG